GGAUGCAAGAGAGAAAAAGGAGAGGACGAAGACAAUGACGUUAUGAGAAACCACAAUGCAAUGCCGCAAGAGAUAAAAAGUAGAGGUGCGCAACCGAGUAAAAGAAGAGGAGAAGCAGAGAAAAAGGAGAAGAGACGAAGACACGAUCAGAAACUGAAUGACGAUAAGAGUCUGCGGUCUAUUUAAAAUGAAAUGGGACGUCGAUUGCUCCAGAAACCGACGUCUAUAAACGUCGAUGUUUGAGGGGAUUUGACGUCUAUUCUACGUCAAAGAAGCUGAAAAGAUUGACGUUUGAUUUCCUGUCAGGGUAGUUCAUGUCGGUGCCCCUCCC
rnacentral:lncRNA from 1 species